rnacentral:rRNA from 1 species
UACGUAGGGUGCGAGCGUUGUCCGGAAUUAUUGGGCGUAAAGAGCUUGUAGGCGGUUUGUCGCGUCUGCCGUGAAAAUCCGGGGCUCAACCCCGGACUUGCGGUGGGUACGGGCAGACUAGAGUGUGGUAGGGGAGACUGGAAUUCCUGGUGUAGCGGUGAAAUUCGUAGAUAUCUGGAGGAACACCGGUGGCGAAGGCGGCAUCCUGGACCGGUAUUGACGCUGAGGCGCGAAAGCUAGGGGAGCAAACGGG